GGCAAGUCAUUUCCCGAGGAGCGAUUAAGUUUGAAAAAUUUACAGCAAAUUGAAGAUGGCCGACUUCCUGUUGGGUUUAGGGCGUGGCUGUAAUUGACUUUUUGGUGUGUCCGGAUGUUCUGCAUAUGCCCACCAAAUAUUGUAGCUGUACAUGAAACAUUGUGGCAGUUGGCCUAAUGACUACUUUUUCAACUUUGCAGGUGGCGCUAUAGAGCCAUUUUGCCACGCACAUGCGCAACUCCCAUAAAAUAUCAAAUUUUUCGCCAGUCCUGAUGUGCAUGCCAAAUUUCACGCGUUUUGGAGUAUGAUAAGGCCGCCAAAAAGCCAAUUUACUUUACGGGAGAAAAAAAAAAAAAAAAAAAAAAAAAAAAAAAUAAUAA